AGCUAUGGGUUCGUCUACGGUACCAGUACUAUAAGGAACUGGGGCUGACGAACUCCUAGAACUGCUAGGAGAGGAGAUAUCAGAGGACAUUUUGGAUCAAAUGGAAGCCACUAAAAUCCCAAAAAAUCAGGAAAAAUAGCAAAUAGGUCCCCGAGAAAGCUAAACGAACAGAAUACGAAGAAAAAAGGAUGAAAAAACAUCAGAAAGUUUCGAAACUGACCUAGAUUGACCCCAGGAGUGCAGGGAGACGGCA
rnacentral:lncRNA from 1 species